UGCUCCCUGCGGUGUUCGACACGGACGAAGGUCUCUCGGACCCUAAAUCAUGCCUUUGGGGUUAAGCCCUGUCGGUGAUGGUGUGCAAAUCCGGUUCGACCGGAAAGCCUUAAGUCCCGACGGUGUACCCCACCUGUUGCUCCGGUUCGAGAGCAACGGUUCGUGACGGCACAGGCGGGGAGCAU
rnacentral:other from 1 species